rnacentral:rRNA from 1 species
UACGUAGGGUGCAAGCGUUGUCCGGAAUUAUUGGGCGUAAAGAGCUCGUAGGCGGUUUGUUGCGUCGGCUGUGAAAUCCCGAGGCUCAACCUCGGGUCUGCAGUCGAUACGAGCAAACUAGAGUGUUGCAGGGGAGACUGGAAUUCCUGGUGUAGCGGUGAAAUGCGCAGAUAUCAGGAGGAACACCGGUGGCGAAGGCGGGUCUCUGGGCAACAACUGACGGCUGAGGCUCGGAAAGCCAGGGGAGCAAACGGG